UACGGAGGGUGCAAGCGUUAUCCGGAUUCACUGGGUUUAAAGGGUGCGUAGGCGGGUUGGUAAGUCAGUGGUGAAAUCUUCAAGCUUAACUUGGAAACUGCCGUUGAUACUAUCAAUCUUGAAUAUUGUGGAGGUAAGCGGAAUAUGUCAUGUAGCGGUGAAAUGCUUAGAUAUGACAUAGAACACCGAUUGCGAAGGCAGCUGACGAAACUGUAACUGACACUGAGGCUCGAAAGUGCGGGGAUCAAACAGG
rnacentral:rRNA from 1 species